GAUGAACGCUGGCGGCGUGCUUAACACAUGCAAGUCGAACGGUAACAGGUCUUCGGAUGCUGACGAGUGGCGAACGGGUGAGUAAUACAUCGGAACGUGCCUAGUAGUGGGGGAUAACUACUCGAAAGAGUAGCUAAUACCGCAUGAGAUCUACGGAUGAAAGCAGGGGACCUUCGGGCCUUGUGCUACUAGAGCGGCUGAUGGCAGAUUAGGUAGUUGGUGGGGUAAAGGCUUACCAAGCCUGCGAUCUGUAGCUGGUCUGAGAGGACGACCAGCCACACUGGGACUGAGACACGGCCCAGACUCCUACGGGAGGCAGCAGUGGGGAAUUUUGGACAAUGGGCGAAAGCCUGAUCCAGCAAUGCCGCGUGCAGGAUGAAGGCCCUCGGGUUGUAAACUGCUUUUGUACGGAACGAAAAGCCUGGGGCUAAUAUCCCCGGGUCAUGACGGUACCGUAAGAAUAAGCACCGGCUAACUACGUGCCAGCAGCCGCAGUAAAAC
rnacentral:rRNA from 1 species